UACGUAGGGGGCAAGCGUUGUCCGGAAUCAUUGGGCGUAAAGAGCGUGUAGGCGGCCCGAUAAGUCCGCUGUGAAAGUCCAGGGCUCAACCCUGGGAUGCCGGUGGAUACUGUCGGGCUCGAGUCCGGAAGAGGAGUGUGGAAUUCCUGGUGUAGCGGUGAAAUGCGCAGAUAUCAGGAGGAACACCAAUGGCGAAGGCAGCACUCUGGGACGUGACUGACGCUGAGAAGCGAAAGCAUGGGGAGCGAACAGG
rnacentral:rRNA from 1 species